GUCACGGUCCUUCAGUGUCUUAGUCCAUGG
rnacentral:piRNA from 1 species